rnacentral:lncRNA from 1 species
ACCUUGCGAGAGAUUCGGUCUUGAAGUCCUUCUAUGAAUUGAGCCAUGAGAGUUUCCUCCGACUCUUCGGUCUCCAACCGGUUGAUAAGCUGCUCAAAUUCCUCAUAGUAUUCUUCGACCGUCUUAUUUCCCUGCACCAACUUACGAAAACGUUUUUGUAAGUCCCUAUGGAAAUAAGUAGGCACAUACCUCUUUCUUAGACAGAACUUCAUUUCGUUCCAUGUUCGUAUUUGG